rnacentral:rRNA from 1 species
CCUACGGGAGGCAGCAGUAGGGAAUCUUUCACAAUGGGCGAAAGCCUGAUGGAGCAACGCCGCGUGCAGGAUGAAGGCCUUCGGGUUGUAAACUGCUUUUAUAAGCGAGAAAUAUGAUGGUAACUUAUGAAUAAGGAUCGGCUAACUACGUGCCAGCAGCCGCGGUCAUACGUAGGAUCCGAGCAUUAUCCGGAGUGACUGGGUGUAAAGAGUGGCGUAGGUGGCAUAAUAAGUAGCUAGUGAAAUCUGGUGGCUCAACCAUUCAGACUAUUCGCUAAACUGUUAAGCGCGAGACCGUUAGGGGUAACUGGAAUUUCUAGUGUAGGAGUGAAAUCCGUAGAUAUUAGAAGGAACACCAAUAGCGAAGGCAGGUUACUGGGACGGUUCUGACACUAAGGCACGAAAGCGUAGGGAGCAAACGGGAUUAGAUACCCGUGUAGUC